rnacentral:rRNA from 1 species
UACGUAGGGGGCAAGCGUUGUCCGGAUUUAUUGGGCGUAAAGAGCGUGUAGGCGGCUAGACAAGUCUGCUGUGAAAACUCGAGGCUCAACCUCGAGCUGUCGGCGGAAACUGUCUGUCUAGAGUCCGGAAGAGGAGAGUGGAAUUCCUGGUGUAGCGGUGAAAUGCGCAGAUAUCAGGAAGAACACCUAUGGCGAAGGCAGCUCUCUGGGACGGUACUGACGCUGAGACGCGAAAGCGUGGGGAGCGAACAGG